GCGCAUACACUGCACAACAACAACAAGCGCUAGUAGUCAGCGCACAGCUUCGUUGCUCCCAACAGCAAACUAGCGAAUUGCUAUGCUGGAAUGUGCUCAGCAAAACAUUAAACAUUCAAUACUCUCGACUCGAUUCGAACGCGUCACGUCGCGUACAAUGAACAAGCUGAUGCGCAGCAGCUGGAGCAGCUGUCUCGUAUGUGGUAUUCUCCGCUCCAAGUGACCAAGUGAAAGAAAGCAGUUGUUCAAUGGAAGUCACCAUAUCGUCGUAUACGAAAGGAUAUAUUAAUAAAAAUAGUUAGUGAAAAGUCAGCAAUGUACCUAUUUGCACAAUUGUGAUUCUUUAUUUUUGUACAGUUUUAUUGCCACUACGUACGUUUGUGACGCUUGAGAAAUCAUUGCCGGUACGUGAUUUGUGUGCUUUCUAAGACUUUUCCGUAGUUUUGCCGCAUCCAUAGUGCGUAUUUACUUUCGCGUGCUGACCUAAGCGGCGUUGCCAAUUACAGCAACUGCUGGCCCCUGGCGAUUUCCGCGAACAAAUUUGCAAAUAAAUACAUCUAUGAACAAAUUGAGGCUGACAAAAUUGAACUGAUAAGCACAUGAAUGAGUACAUAUAAUAUAUAGAGAUUUUUUAUU
rnacentral:lncRNA from 1 species